rnacentral:rRNA from 1 species
GACGAACGCUGGCGGCGUGCUUAACACAUGCAAGUCGAGCGGUAAGGCCCUUUCGGGGGUACGACGAGCGGCGAACGGGUGAGUAACACGUGGGUGACCUGCCCUCAGCUCUGGGAUAAGCCUGGGAAACCGGGUCUAAUACCGGAUAUGACUCCAUGACGCAUGUUGUGGGGUGGAAAGCCUUGUGCGGCUGAGGAUGGGCCCGCGGCGGAUUAGCUUGUUGGUGAGGAAUGGCUCACCAAGGCAUCGAUCCGUAGCCGGCCUGAGAGGGCGGUCGGCCACACUGACACUGACAUACGGGUCAGACUCCUACGGGAGGCAGCAGUCGGGAAUUUUGGGCAAUGGGCGCAAGCCUGACCCAGCAACGCCGCGUGAAGGA